GUAACACUGAAGAGUCCCAAAUAAGGACGAAACAGCUGUCCGGUAC
rnacentral:hammerhead_ribozyme from 1 species